CUACGGGGCGCUCCAGUGGGGAAUUUUGCGCAAUGGGGGAAACCCUGACGCAGCAAUACCGCGUGAGUGAAGAAGGCCUUUGGGUCGUAAAGCUCUUUUCUUGGGGAAGAUAGUGACGGUACCCAAGGAAUAAGCACCGGCUAACUCCGUGCCAGCAGCCGCGGUAAUACGGAGGGUGCAAGCGUUGUUCGGAUUUACUGGGCGUAAAGGGCACGUAGGCGGCACAGCAAGUUAAGGGUGAAAUCCCGGGGCUCAACUCCGGAACUGCUCUUAAAACUGCUGAGCUAGAGAUAGUCAGAGGCGGGUGGAAUUCCAGGUGUAGAGGUGAAAUUCGUAGAUAUCUGGAGGAACACCGGUGGCGAAGGCGGCCCGCUGGGGCUAUUCUGACGCUAAGGUGCGAAAGCGUGGGGAGCAAACGGGAUUAGAUACCCUGGUAGUC
rnacentral:rRNA from 1 species